rnacentral:lncRNA from 1 species
AUCAACUUCCCCUACCUCUACAUCGUGGCUUCCAUGAUGCUCAACGUACGCCUGCAGGUUCAUAUUGAGAUCCACUGAAGGCCUUCCACUUACUGACAGGAGUGUCAUCAGGCUCAC